CGUGGUUCUCGGCUCGUCAGGACCACACCUGGACGACCGUCACCUGGCAGGAUGUGCCUUGCUGUGAGCAGGACAAAUUCCAAACGCAACUCCUAGAAAUGGAAACGCCAUAUGCCCGUCCGCGCUGUCAGCCACCCACGUGAUUUCUGGGGUUCAGAAAGCGUGAGACUGGAAGUGAGCACUGGACUUCGUCUUACCCCUUGCCCUCAGACUCCAGGGUCCGCCUGGGCAGUGCCGGCAGGUGCUAAGAGAAGUCCAGCCAUAAUGCGAUUGGAGCCAGGAAGGAAGGAAGGGUGAUGCAUGGUUGUAUUUGAGGAGGAACAAGCUGCCAUGGCCUGGACCUCCUCAUUGACCCGGGUCGUCGUGUGAGACAGGAAGUGGAGCAGGCUCCCCGAGGCCGGAGCCCCGGCGGACGCCGGACAGAGCGUCACCCGUUCCGGGAGGACCGAGCGUUUCUCCUGGAGGCGGCGGCCGCCCAGCGCGCGAUCUGUCGGACUGCAGCCAGCGAGGCCCCAGCGUCAUCAGAGACCGCGGCCCCGGGAGACCAGCCGCAGAACUGGGAGCGCCGGUCUCUGGGCCACAGAGCAAGGGCUCAACAGAUGUUUGGCCCGGUAGAGGGAAGAUUCCGGAAGAGGUGACGUGGGCUGGUGGGAGUCCCAGUUGCCUUGGAAAAGGAGGAAGUGACUUUCCGUGCCCAUGAGAAGGAUACCUGUGAAGUGAGGAGAGAGUGAUGGGCGGGGCGCCAGGUGACCUGUCCAGCUCUGUCAGGGGCCACCCUGGGGCACUGCCGUGUUGCCACCGUCCCCACCGAAGCGAGGCGAGCAGAGGACGGGAGAGCCCCUGCCAGUGGGCAAACUGCGGCCGUGUGGAUGGGUCCCUCCCCUUCCGGCUUCCUUCUUCCCCGGGAAAGAGACCGGUAACGUGACGGGAAGCCGGCAUCGGUCACGUGCAGGGACUGU